AUUGAACGCUGGCGGCAGGCCUAACACAUGCAAGUCGAGCGGAAGAAGGGAGCUUGCUCCUGGAUUCAGCGGCGGACGGGUGAGUAAUGCCUAGGAAUCUGCCUGGUAGUGGGGGAUAACGUCCGGAAACGGGCGCUAAUACCGCAUACGUCCUGAGGGAGAAAGUGGGGGAUCUUCGGACCUCACGCUAUCAGAUGAGCCUAGGUCGGAUUAGCUAGUUGGUGGGGUAAAGGCCUACCAAGGCGACGAUCCGUAACUGGUCUGAGAGGAUGAUCAGUCACACUGGAACUGAGACACGGUCCAGACUCCUACGGGAGGCAGCAGUGGGGAAUUUUGGACAAUGGGCGAAAGCCUGAUCCAGCCAUGCCGCGUGUGUGAAGAAGGUCUUCGGAUUGUAAAGCACUUUAAGUUGGAAGGAAGGGCAGUGAGUUAAUACCUCGCUGUUUUGACGGUACCAACAGAAUAAGCACCGGCUAACUUCGUG
rnacentral:rRNA from 1 species